rnacentral:rRNA from 1 species
UACGGAGGGAGCUAGCGUUGUUCGGAAUUACUGGGCGUAAAGCGCACGUAGGCGGCUACUCAAGUCAGAGGUGAAAGCCCAGGGCUUAACCCUGGAACUGCCUUUGAAACUAGGUAGCUAGAAUCUUGGAGAGGUCAGUGGAAUUCCGAGUGUAGAGGUGAAAUUCGUAGAUAUUCGGAAGAACACCAGUGGCGAAGGCGACUGACUGGACAAGUAUUGACGCUGAGGUGCGAAAGCGUGGGGAGCAAACAGG